rnacentral:siRNA from 1 species
UGCCACUCCUAUUUCCUCUCGC